AGACGCAUGAACUUAUAAAAUUCAAUGUUGAGAACGACACUGACACUUCUAAAAACACUAUAUUUUCUAACACAUAGAUCGGUGUUUGAAUCAUAAAAUUAUAAAUCAUUACGAAAAUUAUAACUCAUUAAGAAUUUUACGAAGUCGGAAUAACAAUCGAAAAUCACCGACGAUUCGACUGUUCAAAUCCAAGUCGUCGAUUUUCCAAUCAAGAUAACAAAAAACUGAAAAAAAAAAAAAAAAAAACAAUACACUAGAUAGUUACAUACCCGCUCUCGUUGAUUUCGUAAUCGCCAUUGUAGUUCUAAAAUACUCUAGCCCGAUUUUUUUUUUUAUGGUAUGAAUCGCCGUUUGACAGCCAAAAUUCAAGACCAAGUUCUCCGCCGGCAGUGAUGAAGUGAUACAAUUGGAAAAUAAACCCUAAAACUUCUAAUUCAUACACUAAAAAAUAAUAAUUUAUUAUUUCUUCACCCAAU
rnacentral:lncRNA from 1 species